rnacentral:rRNA from 1 species
GUAGGUGGCAAGCGUUGUCCGGAAUUAUUGGGCGUAAAGCGCGCGCAGGCGGUUUCUUAAGUCUGAUGUGAAAGCCCACGGCUCAACCGUGGAGGGUCAUUGGAAACUGGGGAACUUGAGUGCAGAAGAGGAAAGUGGAAUUCCACGUGUAGCGGUGAAAUGCGUAGAGAUGUGGAGGAACACCAGUGGCGAAGGCGACUUUCUGGUCUGUAACUGACGCUGAGGCGCGAAAGCGUGGGGAGCAAACAGGGAUUAGAUACCCUGGUAGUCCACGCCGUAAACGAUGAGUGCUAAGUGUUAGAGGGUUUCCGCCCCUUUAGUGCUGCAGCUAACGCAUUAAGCACUCCGCCUGGGAGUACGGUCGCAAGACUG